AGUGAACGCUGGCGGUAGGCCUAACACAUGCAAGUCGAACGGCAGCACAGUAAGAGCUUGCUCUUACGGGUGGCGAGUGGCGGACGGGUGAGGAAUACAUCGGAAUCUACUUUUUCGUGGGGGAUAACGUCGGGAAACUUACGCUAAUACCGCAUACGACCUACGGGUGAAAGCAGGGGAUCUUCGGACCUUGCGCGAUUGCAUGAGCCGAUGUCGGAUUAGCUAGUUGGCGGGGUAAAGGCCCACCAAGGCGACGAUCCGUAGCUGGUCUGAGAGGAUGAGCAGCCACACUGGAACUGAGACACGGUCCAGACUCCUACGGGAGGCAGCAGUGGGGAAUAUUGGACAAUGGGCGCAAGCCUGAUCCAGCCAUACCGCGUGGGUGAAGAAGGCCUUCGGGUUGUAAAGCCCUUUUGUUGGGAAAGAAAAGCAGCAGGUUAAUACCCCGCUGUUCUGACGGUACCCAAAGAAUAAGCACCGGCUAACUUCGUG
rnacentral:rRNA from 1 species